rnacentral:misc_RNA from 1 species
GAAAUGCGAUAAGUAAUGUGAAUUGCAGAAUUCAGUGAAUCAUCGAAUCUUUGAACGCACAUUGCGCCCUUUGGUAUUCCGAAGGGCAUGCCUGUUCGAGCGUCAUUACAACCCUCAAGCUCUGCUUGGUAUUGGGCACCGUCCUUUGCGGGCGCGCCUCAAAGACCUCGGCGGUGGCGUCUUGCCUCAAGCGUAGUAGAACAUACAUCUCGCUUCGGAGCGCAGGGCGUCGCCCGCCGGACGAACCUUCUGAACUUUUCUCAAGGUUGACCUCGGAUCAGGUAGGGAUACCCGCUGAACUUAA